rnacentral:misc_RNA from 1 species
GAUGAAGAACGUAGCGAAAUGCGAUAAGUAAUGUGAAUUGCAGAAUUCAGUGAAUCAUCGAAUCUUUGAACGCACAUUGCGCCCGCCAGUAUUCUGGCGGGCAAGCCUGUUCGAGCGUCAUUACAACCCUCAGGCCCCCGGGCCUGGCGUUGGGGAUCGGCGGAGCGCCCCCUGCGGGCACACGCCGUCCCCCAAAUACAGUGGCGGUCCCGCCGCAGCUUCCAUUGCGUAGUAGCUAACACCUCGCAACUGGAGAGCGGCGCGGCCACGCCGUAAAACACCCAACUUCUGAAUGUUGACCUCGAAUCAGGUAGGAAUACCCGCUGAACUUAAGCAUAUCAAUAAGCGGAGA